rnacentral:rRNA from 1 species
UACGGAAGGCAGCAGUGGGGAAUAUUGCACAAUGGGCGCAAGCCUGAUGCAGCCAUGCCGCGUGUAUGAAAAAGGCCUUCGGGUUGUAAAGUACUUUCAGUCGUGAGGAAGGUGUUAAGGUUAAUAACCUUAGCAAUUGACGUUAGCGACAGAAGAAGCACCGGCUAACUCCGUGCCAGCAGCCGCGGUAAUACGGAGGGUGCGAGCGUUAAUCGGAAUUACUGGGCGUAAAGGGCACGCAGGCGGUUAAUUAAGUUGGAUGUGAAAUCCCCGGGCUUAACCUGGGAAUGGCAUUCAAGACUGGUUAGCUAGAGUCUUGUAGAGGGGGUAGAAUUCCAUGUGUAGCGGUGAAAUGCGUAGAGAUGUGGAGGAAUACCGGUGGCGAAGGCGGCCCCGUGGACAAAGACUGACGCUCAUGUGCGAAAGCGUGGGGAGCGAAACAGGGAUUAGAU